rnacentral:rRNA from 1 species
UACGUAGGGUGCACGCGUUGUCCGGAUUUAUUGGGUUUAAAGGGUGCGUAGGAGGCUGAUUAAGUCAUGGGUGAAAGCCCGCAGCUCAACUGUGGAAUUGCCUGUGAUACUGAUUAGCUUGAGUGCGGUUGAGGCAGCUGGAAUUGGUGGUGUAGCGGUGAAAUGCAUAGAUACCACCAGGAUCACCGAUUGAGAAGGCAGGUUGCUAAGCCGUAACUGACACUGAGGCACGAAAGCGUGGGGAGCAAACAGG